rnacentral:rRNA from 1 species
GAUGAACGCUGGCGGCGUGCCUAAUACAUGCAAGUCGAGCGAACAGACGAGGAGCUUGCUCCUCUGACGUUAGCGGCGGACGGGUGAGUAACACGUGGAUAACCUACCUAUAAGACUGGGAUAACUUCGGGAAGCCGGAGCUAAUACCGGAUAAUAUAUUGAACCGCAUGGUUCAAUAGUGAAAGACGGUUUUGCUGUCACUUAUAGAUGGAUCCGCGCCGCAUUAGCUAGUUGGUAAGGUAACGGCUUACCAAGGCAACGAUGCGUAGCCGACCUGAGAGGGUGAUCGGCCACACUGGAACUGAGACACGGUCCAGACUCCUACGGGAGGCAGCAGUAGGGAAUCUUCCGCAAUGGGCGAAAGCUUGACGGAGCAACGCCGCGUGAGUGAUGAAGGUCUUCGGAUCGUAAAACUCUGUUAUUAGGGAAGAACAAAUGUGUAAGUAACUAUGCACGUCCUGACGGUACCUAAUCAGAAAGCCACGGCUAACUACGUG